UACGAAGGGGGCUAGCGUUGUUCGGAAUUACUGGGCGUAAAGCGCGCGCAGGCGGCUCUUCAAGUCAGGGGUGAAAGCCCAGAGCUCAACUCUGGAACUGCCUUUGAGACUGUAGAGCUUGAGUACGGGAGAGGUGAGUGGAAUUCCCAGUGUAGAGGUGAAAUUCGUAGAUAUUGGGACGAACCCCGGUGGCGAAGGCGGCUCACUGGCCCGUUUCUGUCGCUCAGGCGCGACAGCGUGGGGAUCAAACAGG
rnacentral:rRNA from 1 species